GAGGCCCUAAUUGGUUUUCCCAAGACAGAGGGGCAUAUGAGAUUGAACAAAUAUUUGUUGAAUGAAUGAACAAAGGGAACGCCUUUUAGGGAUGUUUCUGGGGGAAAGGCCUGAGGUUCUCCAGGAGGGUCUGCAGCUAGGGUCGGCCGUGGGGGCUCGCAGCCCGCGGGACCACCGGACCUGCAAGCGUCCCCCUGCCCCGCCCCCGCCUCGGCGCUCUGAGCAAUUGGACUCUGCCAGCUCUAACUCCGGCGGGACUCUGAAACUCAGGCAAGAGCCGAGACUAGAUAAAAGUAAUUGCUGUAAGAUUCAAAUCAACAGGUGUUCUGGACUUGGAAGAUUUGUUGAAUUACUAUGAAGUCACAUCUAAAGUUUGAAAGUCUCGCUCUGUCGCCAGGCUGGAGUGCACGCUGGAGCGCGAUCUUGUCUUACUACAACCUCUGCCUCCCAGAUUCAAGCGAUUUUCCUGCCUCAGCCUCCCGAGUAGCUGGGACUACAGGGACGCACCACCAUGCCCAGCUAAUUUUUGUAUUUUUAGUAGAGAUGUGGUUUCACCAUGUUGGCCAGGAUGGUCUUGAUCUCUUGACCUCGUGAUCCACCCGCCUCGGCUUCCCAAAGUGCUGGGAUUAUAGGCAUAAGCCACCACGCCUGGCCUGAAAUUAUUUUUCUAUACAGUUCUUAGAGGAAGUGUUUGGGUCACCUACAUAGGCAUGUAGUUCUUGACACUGGUUACUAGAGGAUUUAUAGAGGAUGUUCAUAUAUUCAACAAGCAUUUGUUGAAUACCUAUUAGGUGCUAGCCAUGGAAAUAUGGGAUUGAAAAAAACAGACAAAAAUCCCUAAUCUCUCUUACAAUCUAGUGAGGACAAUCAGACAGUACACAAAAUAAGCAUAAUAUAUAGUAAUCAUGUGGUAGUAAGUUCUAUAGAGCAAAAACAAGUUUAAAGAAGGAGGUUGGGGGGAGUGUUGAGAUGCAUAAGGUUUGCAGUUAUAAAUGUGGUGGUUAGGGAAUCAUUUGCUGAAAAAUGAACAUUGAGCAAAAACCUGAAGGAUGUUAAAGGAAUAAGAUACAUGUAAUCCAGAUGAAAGUUUUUUGGAUAAAGGAAAGAGCAAUUGCUAAAUCCCUGAGGUGGGAGUGGGCUGUUCAUAAGACAGCAAAGCAGCCAGGGUAGCUGAGUGAUUGACAGCGGAAGAUGGAAAAUGGGGAAUAGUUGGUGUAGGACCUAGUUGUGAGGAUAUUGACUUUGUUUUUUUUCCAAGACAGAGCUGUGCUCUGUCGCCCAGGCUAGAGUGCAGUGGCAUGAUCUUGGCUCACUGCAAUCUCCGCCUCCCGGGUUCAAGCAAUGCUCCUGCCUUAGCCUCCCCAGUAGCUGGGAUUACAGGCACCUGCCACCAUGUCCAAUUAAUUUUUGUAUUUUUAGUAGAGAUGGGGUUUCGCCAUGUUAGCCAGGCUGGUCUUGGACUCCUGACCUCAAGUGAUCUGCCCGCCUCAGCCUCCCAAAGUGCUGGGAUUACAGGCGUGAGCCACCAUGCCCACCCUAGGAUAUUUACUUUUAUUUUGAAUAAGGAUGCCACUGGAGAGCUUUGAGGAGAGGAUCAGUCUGGCUACUGGGUUGGGAAUUAAUCAUAGCAGGCAAAGGCAAAAGAAGUGAGGUUAGUUAGGAGGCUUUACAACAACCCAGAUGAGAGAUGGGAGGUUUUAGCCAGGGAGAUGGAGAUGUUGAGAGAGUAGCUGGACUCAGGAUUGUGACAGUGGACUGAAGGAAAAGCAGGUUUUGGGGGAAGAUUGCAUUUCUCCCUUCAACUUCAGUUACGUAGAUCACCCAUAUGCCACACAACUGCAACUCUGUAACAGCCAAUUUUUAGCUUCUUCCUUAUCUAAGCCAUCCUGUAGGCCAUAGGAAUUAAAACUAGGUUGGAUCAAGGAAAAGUGAAUGCUAGAUCCAUACAAAACUAUUUGGAUAUUUGCCUUUGUAUUUUAUUGUUUUGAAAUUAUUUUUAAUGGUUCAAUAAACUCUUACUAGAACUACAAGCAAUAUAAUUAUUUCCUCUGCUUUAUUAGAAAUGUUUUUGUAAUCAUGUUAAUUAUAUUACUUUUAACUAUAUAAGGCUUGUGUCUCUUUUUUAUAAAUUGAUGUUUAUAUCCUCUGUAAGAUAAAUAUAAAGGCUUUUUGUUCAUAUGAGGAUGUGCUGUAAGAUUGCAGGGAGUAUAAAAAUUGGCAAUGGAGUAGGUGACUUGUAUUAUUAGUCUGAUCUUAAUGUUGUAACAUACUGAUCAUGCAAAAUAUAUAAUUAGUUUGUUUUUGCUAUUUAAUAUGUGUAGGACUGUAACAAACAGACUAGAGAAGAUGGCCAUAAGUUACAAGAAAGCAAGUAAAUUACUAUCUAAUUAAAAGUAUUUGAUUCUAAUACUAGCAGAGUUCUGUCUAGAAAAUAAAUUAACUUUCUGUAUGCUUUUUUUGGUCUCAAUUUUCCAAUAAUUUCCCUCAACUCUGAUAUGUGUCUGUUGAAUAAUAUUUCUGAUGUUAAGAAUUAAAGGGGGUGUAGAUCAGUGGUAGGGCGCACGCUUAGCAUGCAUGAGGCCCUGGGUCAAUCCCCAGCACCUCCACAAAGGUUUUCUGGCUGGACACGGUGGCUCACACCUGUAAUCUCAGCAUUUUGGGAAGCUGAGUUGGACAGAUCACUAGAGGUCAGGAGUUCGAGACCAGCGUGGCCAACAUGGUGAAACCCUAUUUCUACUAAAAAUACAAAAAAAUUAGCCGGUCACGGUGGCACACACCUGUAAUCUCAGCUACUUGGGAGGCUGAGGCAUGACAAUCGCUUGAACCUGGAAGGCGG
rnacentral:tRNA from 10 species